rnacentral:lncRNA from 1 species
UUGGUGUUAGACACUAAGUUUGAAAUGUGAAUGAUCAACUAAUGUGGAAAUAAAUGAUGGUUUGGGGUUAUUGAUGUUAGUUUUAUGGAAUCAAUCUAGUAGGCUUGAAAUAGCAUAUGUAAGAAUAUAAGUUUAUGAGUUUCCAAAAAGUGUGAUGGUGCAAGUAUGAUAUAGAUGUGAUCUGUAUGUAAGAUAAUGAAUGGUGACUAAGUCAAUGGAUAAAAGAGAUCCUUAAGCAUUAGGAAGAUAGAAGUGAACCCAAGGUAAUAUGUGCUUCCAUGAUAUUCUAAGAUUAUUAAGUGUUAUGUGUUCUAAGAUUGUAUGUUUGAGUAUGUCUUAGAUGGUGUUCUUAAGAGUUGAAUCGAGGAUUAAGAGAUUGAGGGAGUUGUGUCUCUUAGUGAAGCUUUAUCCUCCAUUGAUUUAGAGGGAUAUGAACUUAGAGGUGGGCUGUGAGUAGGAUAACAAGAAAGAUUAAAUUAUGAGGUACUAGGGGAAUUGGUUAUGUUUGCUAGAGUUUAAGUCAUAUGAUGAUGAUUAUAGAAACUAGAAUAAGUUGAGGGUGGUAUGUCUAAAAGGAAUAUCUUAUAACGAAGCUAGCAUCUUUUUGUUCUAGUAUUAAAGCGGUCAUGUGUAUAUUAUCACUGAGUUUAGAGGAUAUGGAAUAGGCACAUGCUUGGAAUGUCGGCUUUGAUCUAAGGGGGAGAUGAUAGGUUGAAAGAACCAAUUCAAGUCUUAUGAAUCUGAUUGUAAUGCAUUUUAGAAGGAGUUAUGAUGAGAUAACAAUUCAUUUCUUUAGUAUUCCUCAUAUUUCAGUCAUAAUGACAUUUUACUCAUCUCUUGGGUGUUAGCAUCAUGUCCAUGACCCAUUCUCAUGGACCUCAUACAGAUUCAUGUCCAUGCUUAAAUUCUAGAGCAAUAGCCUUAGAACAACGACCCCCAUAUUACUAUAUGCUUCCAUGACUUCUAGCUCUAUGAUGUACAAUUUAUGAUGUAUGCCCCCAUGAUUUCUCAGUAUGCUCAUACUCAGUCUUAUGUACUCAUGAUACAUUUUUGGUGAUAAGUGAAAUGACAAUAUGCUUUGUAUGUUUUCAUAUCAGAUUUCUUGAACAACUCAUGCCUAUGAUCUAUUUGUUCUAAAUCCUACUUUAGAAGUUAAGCAUUCAUAUGUAUAUUAUUGCUGAGUUUUAGAGGAUAUGGAAUAUGCACAUGCUUGGAAUGUCGACUUUGAUCUAAGAGGAGAUGAUAGGGAGAAUGACACAACUCAAGUCUUGUGAAUCAGAUUGUAUUGCAUUUCAGUAGGAGUUAUGAUGAUAUAUCAAUUCAUUUCUAUUCUAGAGUAUUCCUCAUAUUUCAAUCAUUAUGACAUUCUACUCAUCUCUUGCGUGUUAGCAUCACCCCAGAACCCAUGACCCAUACUAAUGGACCUCGUACAUAUUCAUGCCUAUGCUCAAUUCUAGAGCAAUAGCUUUAGAACAAUGACCCCUAUAUUACUCCAUGAACCAUGUCUUCUAGCUCUAUGAUGUACAAUUUAUGAUGUAUUCCCCCGUGAUUUCUCAGUAUGCUCAGUCGUAUGUACUCGUGAUUCAUUCUCGAUGAUAAGUGAAAUCACAAUACAUUUUGUAUGUUUUCGUAUCAGAUUUCUUGAACAACUCGUGCCUAUGAUCUCAUUGUUCAAAAUCCUACUUAGGUUCACCCAUGGUGGUGAUGAAUGGUUAUGACAUAUUCUACACUUACAAUGCCUCUCUAUGUAUGGUUUAUGCUUCAAGUACAUGACGUACUCAUGCCUAUUACACUUCUCUUUAGGCCCCCAUUUAUGAGUGUUAAGUAAUGAUAAUUAUAAGCUAUUAUUUAACAUUAUCUCUCUUAUUUUGGAUCCUAAUACUCUAGUCCUUUAGUGACCCUCUCGAUGUUGCGACAGUGGUGUUGAUAGCAGCCGAAUGAUGGUUUUAGAUGAUAAGGUAGUUGUCUCUUAUUGGGAAGAUUGGGGUAUGCUUACUCUACCUAAGCUUCUAGAAGUGGAGCGAGAUCAAGGAUCUAUUGUAUGAAAUAGUUAGAUGAGAAGUUUUGGUGUCUCUUGGUAGUAGUCCUUGAAAAUUUUAGCUUGUAAAGACGCUAAGAAAGAUAGAGACUAUUAGAUGGGUUGGUUACCUUGAAGUCCAUGAAGUGGUUAUAGUGAUAGGCUUGAAUAUUAUGUUGAUAACAUAUGGAUGAAUGCAUUAUGCACUAGUAGUUUCUUAAUUUGGACUCGAGGUUAGUUGAAUGGUUCGGUAAGAAGAAGUAAUAUUCUUGGUAUGGAAUUUCCUCCAGAAAUAUAGGAUUAGUACAUUCAUCUUACGUGUAACACUGUGACUCCAAGUUAGGCUUGAACAUGGUGAGAGCAUGCAGUUAGACUCAGACUUAAUUAGAAGUAGUCACAUAUAUCCUUGUGAGGGUUAUAAGUUGCAAUUGUUGAGGGGUAGUAUGCAAGAGAAGAAGCAUAGUUGAGAAGUGUUUCUAAGCUUAAAAGUGUAUCACUUAAGUCAUAAUAGAACUAUUCUUACCUCAUGCCCAUGGUACCGAGUUUCCUAUCAAGUACCUUUAGAUGGGGUGUGACCCAUGUUCUAUCUAUAUCAUUCAUACUUUAUGGAUCCAUGUUGGUGUCUCACAUAAAUAUGCCUAUGAUUCCUUCCAUUGAAAUAUUAUAAGAGUUCCAUUAUCAAGUAUUACAAAUCCCAAUAGAUGCAAAGUUCAUUUUGUUUAUUUUCUUCAUGCCUAUGCUAAUUCUUGCGCUCUUAGCUUGUGCUUCUACAUUUCUUAUUAUGGAUUGCUAGACCCCUAUUGUUAGUGCAAUUUACUUUAUUCUAGUGUAUAUAGAACAAAUAGCCCAAAUAAAUCUUAAUUUACUCUAUUCACAUAUUUAUUCUAGCUUUGAUCUUCAUUCGAGGACGAAUGAUCCCUAAGGGGAAAUAUUAUAACGCCCUACAACUUCCAAGCAUAUAGGGUUGAACCUGAUGAUUUCUUAGUUGUACAUAUAUGAUUAGGUACUUUACUAAGUGCGGUCAGUGUAUUGUAUGUUCAAGGGUCGUAAUGUACCUCAAACACCAAGCCAAGGUCAAAACCUUCCUACCAGCUAAGUUUUUUUGCAAAAGUUCAUGUAAGAGUCAACUUCAAACGGCCAUAUCUCUCAACAUAUGUAGAGUUAGGUGACGCAUGACCUAUCAAAUCAAAGGUAUUUGAGUCUAGUUUCUAACGCUUCCAACUUUUCAUCAAUACGAUAUUUGUACACAAUGUAAUUCCCAUUUUACUAGACACUAUCUUGCUGUGCACGAGUUGCGCCGGUUGCGUGCUAGCGCCGCACUGAGGCGUCAACUACUGCCUUGCAGCACGCCGGCUGCAGGCCCAAGAAGUUAUCUACGCGAUAGCGCACGUUACAAACCCUAUCAAAGACCCCAAAGUCGUGGUUUCUCAAGAAACUAACUUUCUCCAAGGUUCAUCCACCAUCCAAGGUAAGAUUUUACCACAUAAUUUCAUAAUUUCUUCAUCUUAACACGAAUUAAUGCCUCCUACUCAUGAUAUUCAUAGAUUUUCAAGGAAAUAACCUCAAGAACUCAUAUCCAAGGUUCAAGAAGGGUUCCAUGGUUCUUCUUCUUCCAAGAAUCUGGUUUUCUUGGGUAUUUAGAAGCAAUUAAGGUAUGUAGGACUCUAAUGAGGAAUUCUCUUCAUCCUCAUGUCUAAAAUUUCUCAGUUUUCUUGAAUUCAAUUUUAUAGUUAAGGUUUAUAGGCCCACUUUCAAAUUCACCAUUUUUAUAUUCCAACAACAUGAUUUCUUGAAUUAUUUACCCUGCAUACCAAUACAUUCCAUGUAUUGACGCUACAUCAUUUUAUGAUGUAGAUUUCAGCACACUGAUUCAGAUUCGCGGGAAUACGCUGCACUAAGUUCCUCUACAUUUAAUAUUGUGGUGAGUCCUCCUCGCAUUCAGAGGACUUCAGUUAUGAGUCAUUAGAUUUUAUUCACUUCAGUUCUGUUAGCUUUCGAGCAGUCUGGGGUCUUGUCCUGACAUAUCGUUUUGUUCGCUUUAAAGACUUUCAAACAUUAGUAUUCAGUUGUAAUAAAUUUAUAUUUGAAAUAUAUUUCAAUUAUGAUUUUAGUUUAUAGCUUCCGCUUCACUUUUCAUAUGAUAGGCUUAAAUAUUUUAUGCCAAGGGUUAGCUUGGGAUCACUUGUGGUUCCAAGUACCGUGUCUCAGCUAGGGUGUAGAAUCAGGUUGUCACAAACUUGGCAUUAGAGCAUUAGGUUCAAGUGUCCUACGAUGUCUGAAAGCCACAUCUAGAAGUCCUUUUUAUGGGUGUGAAGGGCACCACUUUUAUAAGGGGAGACUACAGGAGUUUUAGGAAAUAUUUCCUUUCUUUCAUACUCUAAAUCGUGCAACGGGGUUAUCACCUAAGAAACAUAAGCAGAUUCGUGGCUAUAGGAUGUUUAGGAAAUAUUUCCUUUCUUUCCUACUCUAAAUCGUGCUAUAGAGUUAUCACCUAAGAAACAUAUGCAUAUUCGUGCGUUGCUUCAAUUUUUCUAACUAUUCCUCAUCUUCAGUGUGAUAGAAGUAGUGAAGCUCAAUUCCUCCUAAUAAGGUGUCUUCAAAUAGAACUAUCAUCAUUUCAGAGAUCCCUCAAAGGGCUUGAGGGGAGCCCAUUAGUGUGUUUUACCCCAUUAAUUCAAUAUCUUACGUUCUUAUAUAUGUGAAUUGUGUUGUUGAGCGAAAAUAUGAUCUGCAUUCAGAUUCUUCUAUAAUCCUCCAUUCCAUAGAACAUCAUGAAAGGAGAAGUAUGUGUCCAGAUUCUUGGAUAGUAUUAUCACCCAUAAGAUAAUGUGAUUUGGGAUGUAAUGAUUUAUUAGUAGAAUGACCCAAACUUAGAAGUGUAAAUCUAGAAUCGUAGUAUUCCUUACGGUUGGGAUAAUGAGUUAUCAAAGUGUAGUAUAUAUAUGUAUAGAAGUUAUGUAUCCAUUUACUUAUAAUUGAGGUGAUAUGUAUUCAAGUGUUGACUAAGGGGUAGUAAGUUGAUGUAGAUCUCAUGGUGGGAAGUAGAAAAUGAGUCAUUGGUUAAGCUGACUUAGAUUAUGGUUGAACUAGGAAGGGAGUUUAUGAUAUAGGUCAUUAAUGAAAGUAUAAUAAAGUGUUUAUGGAUUGAUAUAUCUAGGCUUCACUUUGUAAUUCUAAAAAGGAACCGCUUGAUGCUUAUAGAGCUAUGAAUAUAGUUUAGACAUACAGAUGAAUAUGUAGUGGUAAUGUGUGAAAGAAGGAUAUGCUAAUGUAUUAUAAUUAGAUAAACUUUAAGAUUAAAAUCGACUAUUAUUAGUAUGAGGUUUUAGAGUGUACUCGUGUUUCUCAAUUUUAUCUGGUAGUUACUAAGCCAGAAUAGUAUGUGAAGUUGGGUUGUUGUGCAUUUUUGGUGUUAGACACUAAGAUUGAAAUGUGAAUGAUCACCAAGGUGGAAAUAAAUGAUGGUUUGGGGUUAGUGAUGCUAGUUUUAGUAGGCUUAAAAUAGCAUAUGUAAGAAUAUAAGUUUACGAAUUUUCAACAAGUGUGAUGGUGCAGUAUGAUAUAGAUGUGAUUCCUAGGUAUGACAAUGAAUGGUGACUAAGUCAAUGGAUAAAAGAGAUCCUUAAGCAUUAGGAAGAUAGAAGUGAACCCAAGG